rnacentral:rRNA from 1 species
AUUGAACGCUAGCGGGAUGCUUUACACAUGCAAGUCGAACGAGUGGCGGACGGGUGAGUAAUAUAUCGGAACGUGCCAAGUAGCGGGGGAUAACUAGUAGAAAGAGUGGCUAAUCCCGCAUAAUAUUGGAGCGUCAGAUAUGUGAUUAGCUCGUUGGUGGGGGAAAGGCUCACCAGGGCAACGACCCGUAGCUGGUUUGAGAGGACGACCAGCCACACUGGGACGGAGACACGGCCCAUACUCCUACGUGAGGCAGCAGUGGGGAAUUUUGGACAAUGGGGGAAACCCUGAUCCAGCCAUCCCGCGUGUAUGAGAAGGCCUUCGGGUUGUAAAGUACUUUUGGCAGAGAGGCGGUAUCUGCAGAAUAAGCACCGGCUAACUACGUGCCAGCAGCCGCGGUAAUAC